GAAAAAUGUACUGUCAAAAAUGUCGACUGUCGACUGUCAUCUUUGGACCUGGACUUGGUGGAUAGAUUGACAUAUACAGAUAUUUAAAAAAAAUAUUUUCGAUUUCAGGAUCAGAAUCAGUAUACUGCAGUUAUUAAAUAGUUGUUGAAGACAUGUAGCUGGGGUACUGUGAAUGUAUGGAAUUACUAGAAGUGACAAAUUUAUUGCUGACUAGAUCCAGUAUAAAUGGAUUGCCACCUAGGCAGGUAUGUCAGAAUGUAAAACACACUUAAAUAUCAUACCAAGGUAUUGUUAGGUCUACAGAUGUGAGAAAUAGCAGUUUUGAAGCUGUCAAGCGGCACGACGUAAAAAAAUGUUUUGCUUUGGACAAGAAAGUAAAGAAAAUAUUCGCCAGGAGAUUGAGCAGUUGACAUACGCGCAUACCAGGAAAUCGAAGUCAAGCGUAUGGAGACAGUUUGCAAACUUUUGUCCAGAAAAAUCGUAUAAUUUCGAUAGAAGAAGUGGCACUUAUUCUUGAAGACUAUGUGUUCAACAUUCGAAAAAAGAACUCCGAAGACUACAAGGAGAGUGUUAUCAUAGUUUUUUGGAAUUCCACAGCCAAGCAGUUGCAGGAAUAUUUUUUUGAAAAAUAUAAUCGCAAAUUUAAUCCAUUCUCUGACAUAGAAUUUUUGAACGCAAGAGCUUCAAAAAAUGCUAAGCGCUGGAAGCUACAAAUGGAUCGAACCAAGAGAAAGAAAAGUUAAUCUGCACUAUCAGCAGACGAGCUGAAAAAAAUGAUCGAGCUUUGGGAAGAAAACACUCUGGAAUGCAGAAAAUGUUUUUCCACGUUGCUGGUCAUGAAUUGGCCUGGAGAGGAAAUGAAGGAGCGGUAGCACAACUCGAAUAUUUUGUGGAGUAAAUUGACAAUAGAGGGAAACCAACAGGCCACAUUGAGUAUAACCCGGUUUUCUCUAAGACCACCCAAGAUACUUCAAAGAAAAUGGCUGACAGUAAGUGGCUAGUACCGAAUACACUCAACGAAGAAAUAUGCCCACUGAGACUGUUCAAAAAACUAAGAAGCAAGCAGGGCCCCAUCAAAACGAAGCGUUUAUUUUUGACGCCAAAUCCAAACUGGAUGAAUCCCAGUUCCAAAGGCUGGUACAAGAACAGCCCAGUUGGACAGAAUACAAUAUCUUCCUGGUUCAAAUUCUAUGCAUCAUUGAAUGGAAUUGAUCUUAAAAAGAUCAAAAUAACAAAUCAUUCUGUAAGAGCCACUGCUGUUUCAACUGUAGCCAAAACGGGAAUUGGAAAAUAGCAAUUGAUUAAAGUAACGGGUCAUGGUAGCAGCCACUCAAUAAAACCAUAUCUGCAAAUAGACUCGGGCCAUCAUUAAGAAAUAAUUGACGCAAUGAGGUCUGUUUCAACUUCGGCAAAGACGAUUCAAUAGUCUCUGAAUCAAGAACAAGCAACUAUGUCCAAUUAACAUGCCAUAGUUUUUUAAUAAUUGCGUUUUCCAUAUAAACAAUAAUUACAAUAGUCAAGAUAAUAUAAAUAAUUAGAUUCAUUAUCACUUUUAACCAUUCAUUUAAAAUAAAAACUCAUCUAUG